CCUACGGGGUGCAGCAGUCGAGAAUCAUUCACAAUGGGGGAAACCCUGAUGGUGCGACGCCGCGUGGGGGAAUGAAGGUCUUCGGAUUGUAAACCCCUGUCAUGUGGGAGCAAAUUAAAAAGAUAGUACCACAAGAGGAAGAGACGGCUAACUCUGUGCCAGCAGCCGCGGUAAUACAGAGGUCCCAAGCGUUGUUCGGAAUCACUGGGCGUAAGGCGUGCGUAGGCUGUUUCGUAAGUCGUGUGUGAAAGGCGCGGGCUCAACCCGCGGACUGCACAUGAUACUGCGAGACUAGAGUAAUGGAGGGGGAACCGGAAUUCUCGGUGUAGCAGUGAAAUGCGUAGAUAUCGAGAGGAACACUCGUGGCGAAGGCGGGUUCCUGGACAUUAACUGACGCUGAGGCACGAAGGCCAGGGGAGCGAAAGGGAUUAGAUACCCUAGUAGUC
rnacentral:rRNA from 1 species